CUUAAAAAAAACUUGAUAACUGGUCCAUUGUCUGUUAUUUUUUUUCUAUAGCACAUUUCCCAAUGCAAGAUUAGCCUGUCAAUAAAAACUACAUUUGAUGUGCAUAUAGUUAGCGUUAAAUUUGCUACCCAAUUCAAGGAGUCCUCCCUGUAGCGCAGUGGUCACAUUUCCGAGCUUCGGUUUGGAAGGGCAAGGUGGUUCUCAUAAUCCGCCGACCUACCUGCGACGUAGCCGCCGGUUGUAAGUGAGAAUUUUCGGUGAUUUGUUCCAGUGGGUCCCGGCGCGUCUGCGAUGGAUCGCCGACGUACUCAAAUUUGCGCGAAGUGGAAAUCGAAUGGGCGCAAUUUUCAACCAGUCCACCUGUAAGUAUGGAUCGAAUCGUGUCACUAGAGUACUAGAGUUACUAGAGUCCAACACGAAUAUGAAAAAAAUCGGAGUCCCUCUGCGGGGGUUGAACGGCAUGCCCUUCCAAACCGAUACUUGCAGGUAGGUCGGCAGGAUGUGAGAACCAGGCUUUAUAUGGGCGAGAUAGGUAUAUGCGGCCGCAAAGGAUAUAUUUUCAGCCGUUUUGGUCGCAAAUAGGGUAUCAAAUAUGGAUUACGCGCGAAUAUUGUCACGACAACAACUCGCGCGGAUAACGCGCGAGAUGAGUGAACGCUCCCAGCAUUCUCUGCAACUUACAACAGUUCGUCGCGAAAGUUGAGCGAGGCUGAAAAAAGGCAGACUUAAAGAGAAGAACUUUGCUUGGACCCGGAGAACUUUGUUGGCGAGCGAUUCGGAUUGUAGG